rnacentral:rRNA from 1 species
UACGGGGGGGGCAAGCGUUGUUCGGAAUUACUGGGUGUAAAGGGCGCGUAGGCGGCCUCUUAAGUCGAACGUGAAAUCCCCGGGCUCAACCCGGGAACUGCGUCCGAUACUGGGAGGCUUGAAUCCGGGAGAGGGAUGUGGAAUUCCAGGUGUAGCGGUGAAAUGCGUAGAUAUCUGGAGGAACACCGGUGGCGAAGGCGGCAUCCUGGACCGGUAUUGACGCUGAGGCGCGAAAGCUAGGGGAGCAAACGGG